UACGAAGGGGGGCUAGCGUUGUUCGGAAUUACUGGGCGUAAAGCGCACGUAGGCGGUCUUGUCAGUCAGAAGUGAAAGCCCUGGGCUCAACCCGGGAACUGCUUUUGAUACUGCAAGGCUUGAAUCCUGGAGAGGGUAGUGGAAUUCCCAGUGUAGAGGUGAAAUUCGUAGAUAUUGGGAAGAACACCAGUGGCGAAGGCGGCUCACUGGUCCGAUACUGACGCUGAGGAGCGAAAGCGUGGGGAGCGAACAGG
rnacentral:rRNA from 1 species